AAUUUAUAAGCAGGCACAUAACAAAGAAAUCCAUCAUAAAUUCUUUCAAGAUUGCAUGAUUAUAUAUAAACAUCAGAAGCUUCACAUCUGUUUAUAUAUAUCUAGCAAUAAACUAAGAACUCACAGUUCAAACUUUAAAAUAAACAAGCAAUGCAUGGCUUAAAGCAUUCACAAGUCCAUUAAGUAACUUUCAAGUUUCCAAGAAUCAAACAAGGAGGUAACAGAAGUAGCCACACACAAGCACACAGUGGUGAAGCACCAUUGGCGACCCACGAGCGACCGAGCUGGAAAGAAGCCGUAGCAGCAGUUGGUGGUGCACAAGCAGUCGUCAGCUGCAGCAAGUUCGUUCGACUAGCUGGACGGCAGUCGUAUGACGAGGCAGCGGCGAGAUGGUUCCGUGGAUUUGGGCGUUUGGCCGUUUCACCUUCGGGUUGUUAGGGUGAGGUGAGGUGAUUUGAUUUUUAAUUUUUUACGGUUUGGACAUCAAUAUUUAUGUGUGUGCAAGUCUAUGGUAACUAUUUGACAUAACCAUUUAAAUUAUGACGC
rnacentral:lncRNA from 1 species